rnacentral:rRNA from 1 species
UGGGGAAUUUUGGACAAUGGGGGAAACCCUGAUCCAGCCAUCCCGCGUGUGCGAUGAAGGCCUUCGGGUUGUAAAGCACUUUUGGCAGGAAAGAAACGUCAUGGGUUAAUACCCCGUGAAACUGACGGUACCUGCAGAAUAAGCACCGGCUAACUACGUGCCAGCAGCCGCGGUAAUACGUAGGGUGCAAGCGUUAAUCGGAAUUACUGGGCGUAAAGCGUGCGCAGGCGGUUCGGAAAGAAAGAUGUGAAAUCCCAGGGCUCAACUUUGGAACUGCAUUUUUAACUACCGGGCUAGAGUGUGUCAGAGGGGGGUGGAAUUCCGCGUGUAGCAGUGAGAUGCGUAGAUAUGCGGAGGAAAACCGAUGGCGAAGGCAGCCUCCUGGGAUAACACUGACGCUCAUGCACGAAAGCGUGGGGAGCAAACAGG